rnacentral:rRNA from 1 species
UACGUAGGGGGCAAGCGUUAUCCGGAUUUAUUGGGCGUAAAGCGAGCGCAGGUGGUUUAUUAAGUCUGGUGUAAAAGGCAGUGGCUCAACCAUUGUAUGCAUUGGAAACUGGUAGACUUGAGUGCAGGAGAGGAGAGUGGAAUUCCAUGUGUAGCGGUGAAAUGCGUAGAUAUAUGGAGGAACACCGGUGGCGAAAGCGGCUCUCUGGCCUGUAACUGACGUUGAGGCCCGAAAGCGUGGGGAGCAAACAGG